rnacentral:rRNA from 1 species
UACGUAGGGGGCAAGCGUUGUCCGGAAUUAUUGGGCGUAAAGGGCUCGUAGGCGGUCUGUCACGUCGGGAGUGAAAACACGGGGCUUAACCCCGUGCCUGCUUCCGAUACGGGCAGACUAGAGGUAUGCAGGGGAGAACGGAAUUCCUGGUGUAGCGGUGAAAUGCGCAGAUAUCGGGAAGAACACCCGUGGCGAAGGCGGCUCUCUGGGACGGUACUGACGCUGAGACGCGAAAGCGUGGGGAGCGAACAGG